UUUUUGUUUUUUGUUUUUUGUUUUUUUUCAUACAACCUCAGACCAUGGGGCUUAGGUGGACCAUGUGCUCAUAUAGUCUAAGCUCACUUUCCUUGUCCUGAGUUUCCCCGGUUUUGAAUCUCAUGUCAACCGGUUAUAUAGUAGAUUGAGUACUCUACCCCCAUAGUAGUUCAGAGUUUGCCCAGGUCCUUUGCUUAUUCAGUUAGACAACUAUAAACAUGAUAUAAGUGGAGACUUAACAGUUUUCUUACACAUGGGACUCACUCUGUCUUGCUGUUUAUGGAAUCCUACACCCAGUAGUAUGUGGAGGAGGCCUAAGGAAAGUUUGUUAUAUAUAUUUAAAAAAUAAGACCCUUGGUCAAGUCAUCCUCAUUGCCCCUAUACCUCCAUCCAAAUUCUAGACAUGCGAGUUUUAGAUCAUCCCCCACAAGCUGAACCAGCACAGACGAGAAGAAUUUCCUGGCUGAACCCACAGAAUUGAUGAGAAAUAAUAAUUUAUUGUCUUAAAACACUAAUUGUGGAGUGGUUUGUUACUUGGCAAAAUCUAACUGAUAUAGAUUAUAUCACCCAAUCCUAACACUAGACUAUAAGCUAUUUGUGAGCAGUUGUUUGUUUGCUUCCCCCCGCCCCACUGUUGCCCCAAUGUAUGGAAAAUUUCAGAUUUUCAAUAACUUCUUUUAGAAUACAUAAAAAUUUUUAAAAUGUUUUUAGAUAAAUAUUGCCCUGAAUUAAAUAUGAAGGAACAUGUGUUUCCUUAAUGGCUCACAGUCCCUAAGAUUUUGAAUAUACAUAUUGUUUAGACAAUCAUUUUACUAAACUUACAAUAAACUUAAUUAUUUUUCAAGCCUCUAUUCUAAAAUUGAGAUACUGAUAUAACAAUAAGGAUAUGGCAAUGGUUAAUGAUAAUGAAUAUAGUAUCAGCAUAAUAUUAUAAUAAUUAUUAUUAAUUGAAAAGCCCUCAACUGCUAACAUUAAGCCAUUUAAUAUUCAAGGGAAACUUAUAAGAUAUAUAAUAUUAUUUACCUGUAUUUCAUUAAGGAGAAGACUUGGUGCUUAGUGAAAUUAACGACGGAUCCAAAGCUUCAUAGUUAGCGAUAAAUUUUACAUUCAAAUCCAGAACUUUCUUAUUCUAGAAUAUUAGUUACAUUUCUUCUCUAAUGUGAGUCUUCUUUAUAUCCCCAUUAAAAAAGGAAUUUUUGAGAUAGAAGGAUACUGAGAAUAUUAUUUGAUUCAGUUUCUUACUAAGUAAGAAAACAAGGAAAUAAGGUCAACUAAUGUGUCCAAGAGGGCACAGAAAAUAAUUCUUUCAAUAAAUGUUCCAAUAAUUUACAAAUUAGAAGCAAACUCACACAAGUAGAAGAUAAGAUAUUUUCAUUUAUUGAGAUUCUAAUAUAAGUUGGGUACUGCAUAGGUACAGUUAUACAUGUAACCUGGUUUAUUCCUCACAGCUAAGUAGUAAGGUAAGUAUCAUUUCUACUGGUGAGGAAUCUUAGGUUCAAAUUCACUAGUAGUUAAAUGCCCUGCCUGAAACCUAAACUCUCUCCUAUCUUAAUUCUAAUAGCAGGUCUUGUCAGUAAAUACUGCAGCAACUUGGGAUAUUUUCUUACAGUAUUUUUAACAGUCUUUAGGAAGAAAGACUAUCUGAGAAAGAAUAUAGUCUCUAUUAGAAAAGAAAUCUCCAUGUCAGAAAAACUGGGAUUCUCUAAUAUUUUGAGUUAAAUUGAUAAAUAGGAGAAAUAAUACUGAAGGUAAAUGCCAAGUCAGUGCUUGGGGGAAAUAUAUUGUGUUAAAAAAUGAUUCAAAGACCAAAUUUUGUUUUGGAAAUAGAAAGCAGUAGACUUAACACAGCUGUUGGAUAUGUGAAUACUGUGAUAUUUGAUUUUUUUUGUUUUUGCAGUCAAAAUUACCACAAAAUAAUAACCUGAAAAUAAAAUCAAGAGUCUAUUUAUGCAGUACUAAUAAAACGCUUAAGAAUGUCUUUUGGCGGGCAGCCUGAGUGGCUCAGGGGUUUAGUGCCACCUUCAGCCCAGGGAGUGAUCCUAGAGACCCGGGUUCGAGUCCCAUGUAGGGCUCCCUACAUGGAGCCUGCUUCUCCCUCUGUGUCUCUGCCUCUCUUUCUCUUUCUCUCUGUGUCUCUCAUGAAUAAAUAAAUAAAAAUCUUUAAAAAAAAAAAAAAAAUGUCUUUUGGGACAUUGGGAAGCACUUGUCCUCAGGAUUGUACAGUAAUGGAUAGUUACCAAAACCUGGUUUCAGGGGCCAUGCCCACCAUUCAUACAAGUGGUGGUCAGUUCAGAGAAGGAAGCCAUGGGAUGGGCAAGUUCUUUGGAACUGGCAGUAUUUUAUUUGCCCAGCUGUCCACUUCCCAAAACAGACUGUGACUUCUUUAACUGAUGGCUAUUAAUGAUUGAUGAAUGAAAUGAAUGAAGGAGGUAGGAGAUGGAGUAAAGUUACCAUGUAGAUAGAAAGGUCAGCCCACUGGAAAGUUAAGACAUAUCUUGGGCAGGGAUAGGUCAGGAUGAUGCAUUAUAGACGAAAUUUAUAAAAAUACAUUAAUAUGUAACAUUAAAACACAUACAUUACAUUCAGUGAAUCCUUGCUCCAGGUACUACAAUUGACAAAAAAAAAUCACAAGUUAUUUUUAAAUUUUUAUGUAUUAAAAUUAUUUAAAAGAGUAUCAAAGUUCAGAAUUUCUCAUAUUUACAUGGAUUUAGAGUAGUGAAAUGUUAAAAUGCAUUUUAAUAUACUGAUUAAAACAGCCUCAAACUAGAUGAGAGUUACCAUUUUACAUUAACAUAAUGUCAACAUAAUUUUAAUUUAAAUAUAUUUCCAUAUCUUUUGAUCAGAAUCCUGUUAAUAUUCAAGUUCAUUACUUCUUACUAAAGACUUACUUUAUUUAGAGGUCAUAGGAAUAUGUUAGUUGUAAAGUGUGCUUACAACAGUUGAAAUUUCCUAAUUAAAAAAUUUAAUUGAAAUAUAAAAUGUGCAAUGUACCAGUGGGCAAAGCAAAACAGAUAUAAUUCUUUUGUGUAUCUUUGGAGACUGUUGUCUCUCUUCCCAUUAUACUUGAGAACCUGAGAAGAUACCUUAAUAUCCUCUUCAGUUCAAUUUCAUUUAUUUCUAUGAUUAUAAAUGAUACUCAGAAAUGCUAUUUUUUUUCUGGGCUCAGUCCUAAAAACCUCUUCUCCACACCCAGGAAGCCUAUUUGCCGUGCUUUCUGAGAAACUGUGUUUAACAGAACAUUUAUCCUUAUUCUUGAAAGUGAUUUCCUAUACAACUUGGAUAUUUUUGAUCAGUAUUCAUGUUAUAAAAAUAUUUAUCAGACUAUUUCUGGGGGAAAAUAUAGCUAUAGAAAUCUAUGGGUUAGGUUGCUAAUGUAUGCCAUUAAAGGCAUAUACCAAGCAUUCAGAAGUUUAAGACUUUAUCUUUGGGGACAUACGGACAAUCAGAAAAGAAAUUUUUCAUUUAGAAUGUGACCACCAAAUACUGUCUUAUUGAGUGACAGUUCCAUUAUGAAUUUAAGCUCAGGAUAUAAAAAGGGUCCAUUGAACUACACAUUCAUCACUGCCUACAGUUGUGGAUCACAGGAAAAUAACUUGUUAACAUGGGUAGGUGGAGGUUAUAGUUUCUAGGAGCUAUCGGUCUAGUUCUGUCUGUAACUAGAUUACAAUGGAGGUGUGUGGGGGAGAGGAAGAUUAGGAAACUGAGGCAAAAACAAAAUAGAGAUGGUUCUUAAAAAUAUAGAAGGUUAUGGACUAAAUAAAUGGCAUUUGGGAGGCUAGAAUUAGUCCAAAGUAGAACUAUAAAAACCUGCUUUUGACACUAAUAAACAUGUAAUCAGUAGGAGGCUAUUUAAAUUUUCUAAGCUUCAAUUUCUUCAUCUUAAAAAAAAAAAAAAAGAAAAA
rnacentral:lncRNA from 1 species